UGUGAUGAUGUGGCAUAGAAU
rnacentral:miRNA from 1 species